AUUGAACGCUGGCGGCAGGCUUAACACAUGCAAGUCGAGCGAGCGGCGGAAGGGUGAGUAAUGUAUGGGGACUGCCCGAUAGCGGGGGAUAACUACUGGAAACGGUGGCUAAUACCGCAUACUAUCGGAUAACCCAUAUGGGAUUAGCUAGUAGGUGGGGUAAAGAAUCAACUAGGCGACGAUCUCUAGCUGGUCUGAGAGGAUGAGCAGCCACACUGGGACUGAGACACGGCCCAGACUCCUACGGAGUCAGCAGUGGGGAAUAUUGCACAAGGGGCGCAAGCCUGAUGCAGCCAUGCCGCGUGUAUGAAGAAGGCCUUAGGGUUUUAAAGUACUUUCAGCGGGGAGGCGUUACCCGCAGAAGAAGCACCGACUAACUCCGUGCCAGCCGCCGCGGUAAUUC
rnacentral:rRNA from 1 species